rnacentral:rRNA from 1 species
CCUACGGGUGACAGCAGUGAGGAAUAUUGGUCAAUGGACGAGAGUCUGAACCAGCCAAGUAGCGUGAAGGAUGACUGCCCUAUGGGUUGUAAACUUCUUUUAUAUGGGAAUAAAAUGUUCCACGUUUGGGAUUUUGUAUGUACCAUAGUACUCAGGAUCGGCUAACUCCGUACCAGCAGCCGCGGUAAUACGGCGGAUCCGAGCGUUAUCCGGAUUUAUUGGGUUUAAAGGUAGCGUAGGUGGAUUGUUAAGUCAGUUGUGAAAGUUUGCGGCUCAACCGUAAAAUUGCAGUUGAAACUGGCAGUCUUGAGGACAGUAGAGGUGGGCGGAAUUCGUGGUGUAGCGGUGAAAUGCUUAGAUAUCACGAAGAACUCCGAUUGCGAAGGCAGUUCACUGGACUGCAACUGACACUGAGGCUCGAAAGUGUGGGUAUCAAACAGGAUUAGAUACCCGUGUAGUC